rfam:Glycine soja cultivar W05 scaffold938_27, whole genome shotgun sequence.
UUCUAAUUGGAGAUGACGAGAUGACGAUCCCAUGUCAUGUUCUGAUUGGAUAUCAACUCUAUGAACGAUGAAAUAUAUUGUUGUUGUCAUUGGACAAUCAGCAUAUACAAUCGUUAUCCAAUCAGAAUAUGACAUGUGACAGUUAAUAUUC